rnacentral:lncRNA from 1 species
AUGAAGGUGAACAUCUUCUGCUGCCUGUUAGUCUGCACUCUGGGCUCUAAUGUCACUGCUGGUUUAACCCAUGAAGUAUUUAAGGAGGGGACACAGCUCACUCUGCGCUGUCCUCACUCUGUGGAGGGUAAAGUGAGGUGGAGCAGAGAGAGUGGAGGAAGCAGAGCUGACAUACUUACAGCUGAUGGAGACGGAAAUAUAAAACACAUCAAUGAUUCACAGAAACGAUACAGUUCACUGGCUGAUCGAUCUCUGAUCAUCGUCAGAGCUUCUGUCUCAGACUCUGGCAGAUACUUCUGUAACCAUGAAGCAGCUGUGGAGCUGACAGUGAUCCCAUCAGGAACUAAAAUAGUGAGUGUUGCAGAGAGGAGCAGCAUCACUCUGAACUGUUCUCAUGAUGUUGGAGGAUCAGCUGUUCCCACAUGGAGACGAGACUCUGGAGAAAUAAAUGAAGGAAGGAUUUCUGUUUCCACUGAGGACAAAACAUUAAGUAUAAGAGAAGCUGAGCCUGCUGACUCUGGACUGUACUACUGUGAUGGAAAACCAGCUGUUUAUCUGAAUGUGACCAAAGGACAGAGAUCUGACAGAGAAAAUAAGACAACAACAACAACACCAACAACAACAACAACAACACCAACUACUGCUACAACUCAUAAAGCAUCAGUAACACCUGCAUCACCCACUGAGGCUCCAUCAGCUUUUCCAGUGCAGAGUUUCCUGAUUGGAACUGGUCUUCUUCUUCUCUCCACCCUCAUCCUCAUCACUGUCUACUUCAUUUGGAGAUGCAGGUCCAACAGACGAGGUGAGUAA